AUAUAUUAAAAAUCUUCAACUCCCCCGGUACCGGUGACAUUCCGACAUUCGGAGUGUUACCGAGACAGGGACAGGUAUUAGUUACCUAACUGUAUCACCGAGGUUUUUAUGAACUAGUUGUUUUUGUUUAAAUUGGUCUUUCUGGUGAUUGUUCAUUUAAGUGUCGGUUGUAAGAGACCCCUUUCACGUAUAGUUUCGUUUUAUUCCUUUACAAGACUCAAAGGCUCUAAAUGACUUUGAGGGAACAAUAUAUUAAUAAUAUACGAUGGUUGUAAUUGGUUAGGUAAUUCCGAUUAGUUAGGUAUCUCCAAUGAAACGCUUUCGUGUAGUCAUCCUUGACUAAAGCGCUAUUUAUAAUUCGUAGUUAGACUCAAGGUUGUUAGUUGUACAGUUUCUACUCGUGUGUUUAAGACAAGGAUUCUUUGAGUCAUACAACCGGACGCCGUGUUAGAAGAAUUGACUUGGAAGAGGACCGUAGUGUUCUAAUUUCCGAAACAACCAUUUCUGUUUGUCUUGGUUUUUUCUUCUUCUUCUUCUUCUUCUUUCUAGAUACUUUCAACAUCAUCUUAUUUGUUUUUUAUGUGCAUUAUUUAUAUUAUGGAGUUAAAAUAGUACUAGUAUAAACUAGUCCUUCUGCGUAGAUGUCGGGGAUUAUAGUACGUCAAAGGAAAGCUAAAGUUACUGUACACGUAGCUUCAUCCAACGAAGAAGUAAGGAGAGGACUUCACCUUCGUCGUUUUGUCUAUUCUCUAGUGUGGUCUCCAUCCCCUAAAUUUACCCGGUCCUAAUCCAGUUUUGAGGCUACUUUAAAGUUUCCCGGGACCGGGUUUUGGGCGGGGAUUAUCACUGUCUUUAACCCUCACACCGGCCGGGUAAAAAUGGAGGAUUAGUCUUUCAUUCUCUUUUUCUAAAAUAUUACUCUUUUUAUGGGCCUUCGUCUCCUGUUCUAGAGGCUGUCGUUGGAAACAUGUAAGUCUUCUAAGGUCUCCUUACCUCGCAAGUGCUUGUCGGAGGAACUGUAAGUGGGUAAGUAGCAGUAGUCGAGGUUUGGGAACUUUAGAGUGAAACUGAAGGAUCAAAAUCUUUAGCUUCACUAUAUUCUUUGUACUCCCGAUCUUCAACCUUUCGUUGUCUUAAUUACGGUUUCUACAAGUAUUGAGCUUUGCUUAUUCUACUGUAUUUCUUUAAACGGUGUUUUUAACAGAUAUACAUUCAUUAUUGUACUUAACGUGAUCUGUUAGUCUUAGACAACUUCGUUAAAUAUGAACUUUGACAGAUUUUAAACGGAUUUGAGGAUAAAGUACAAGUAAAACCGUAGGUUAUAUGUACUUUUGACUUGUUACUGGUUCGCUUAGGUACUAUAAACCGUGAGAAUUAUAAUCUACGGCCGUACUGACUGAAACCUUUAGUGUGACAAAUUUGACCAAUUCUUUAAACCGAAUUUUCCGUCCUUGGAACCGAACCGCUAAUCGGUCUACUUUUCAAAAAUAUAAGUGUACAGACAGUUAUCGUGUACUAAAUUAUUUGUAGUUGGGAAGGAAUUCUAUUUUGUCUACUCAAAGCAACAAGUUAACUCACUAUAAUUCUUAUAAUGCGAAGUUAUUUCUCUAUAACAGUAGAUUAGGAAUGGAAUGAAGAAAAUACACAUUCUUUUUCUGAGAAGUCAAAUAACCCCGGUCUUUUUCAAAAAAAGGAACAAGUUACACACUUCAAUAAUACAGUCGAAGAUACUAUUUGAAAAGUAAAGUCCAUCAAGCCGUGUAUAUCAAUUCUUCCCUUUGUAAAAAUAAAGCGUUGAUGUAGAGCGAGACCUUUGUACUGUCUUAAGUAUUUGUCAACCAUCUCGAAAGUUUAUGUGUUUCCCUCAUCAUUUUGUUUAUGAAGAGGAAUGUUCAAGAGGUCUUGAUUCUUGAGAUACGCGGUCCUUACAUCGUUGUAGUAUGGACGCCGUCAUCCUAGUGUAACCUUCAGUUGUCCUUCUUUUUGUAUUCCUUUGCUUUAUUUUUGAACACCUACUUGUUGAAUUACGUAGUGAUGAUUUCACGGUCUCAGGUGACACAUCUUACUGGGUGAGCACAAGUGACGAGUUGGUUAGAAGAACUUUUGGAAAAGAUGAAUUCCGUAUCUUCAGUUCGUAAUAUUGUAUUUCUACUUUCAACAAUAAGAUGAACAGGGAUAGUGUGUAAAAUUGUCUUUCAUCUUUCAACAUAUUGCUAUAAACGUAUUGUCACUAGUACACAAUUCUAACGAUUUUUAAUGGUAAGAGAUUCUUCUCCUUCAGUUCUUCGUGUCGAUUCCUUUUUCUGUUGAUGUUGUCCUCGAUCAUUGUUCCUCUCCUCAACGUUUCGUCUUCACGUAAAACUCUCAUAUUUUCGGAUGGUACGCGGUAGAGAACUACUAGAACGGAGUUUAAGGUUGAGAGAUGGAAGUCGUGAGAAGGGUGAAGAUGGACUUAUCUUGAGGUUACUUUUUUUUUUUUUUAUCUCUUUUUUUUUCUUCUUCUUCUCUCUCUUGUCAAAAUUAUAAAUAUUGUAUGUUUUUUCCGUCUUUUUUUUAUACGGUGGUCUAUAGAAUACUUGUAAAUCUCGUUAAAUAAUCGAUGUUUCAAGUUCCUUUUCAUCUUGUUAGGUGGUUAAAAGGUUAAUUUAUUAUUAAUCGUAGAGAACGUCUUACAUUACUUCUAAAUGUUCUCCAUUCGUAUAGCAUAAACAUUAAAGUAGGACGCCGAUCUGUUUCGGUCGUCUUCCGAAGUUCUGGUGACGCGGUGAGUUCUUGAAAGUCUCUCGUAUGGACUCAUUGCAUAUUAAUGUCAAAUGUCAGAUGAGUCCUCAUCGUCACUGUUACAUGACAAAUUUUUACCAAAACUUUCUUAAUAUUUCUUAAGUAGUUUAAGUAGAACCUACACUUGUUUAUUACUCCUCUUCUGGUGUAUAUCCUUUACGUGGAUGUAAAUCAAUUUAAUGCACGUUCUCAAGUACCUUAGCUAUUUUGAUAAACGUUGAUCGGUUGAUGUAUAUAUUACUUAUAGGUAAUCUAAUUUUUUUUUUUUUUUCGCCUAUAACAGACAGAACACUGAUUUCGUUAUUCCGUUUUUUCGUAUUAAAAUCAACAUUUUCGUGGAAACCCGUACAGGCUUCAUAAACCUUCUCGUAAUAAUCUCUCUGAACGAAGACUAUGACGUCAGGAAAGAAGACUUCUUGAUCCACUUCUUCCCUGUAGUUCCUGGACCUAUGCGUCAAAUAAGAACUUGGUAAGAACUUGGACUUUGUACACGGAAAGUAGUUUUUAUCUAAGGUAUAUUGGUCAUAUAUUAUACUUCCCUAAAAAAAAAAAUUGUUAUGGACAAAGUAAACAUAUCGAGAUGAACAUGUAGAUGGACUUCGUUCUGACUUUGUCCCGUAGCUUGUUUCGUCCUUUAAUCAUCCGUAAAAAUCUCUGUAUUAGUAGAUUUCUUAUCUUCAUUCUCAUUUAAUAGUCGGUAGAAAAGAAGAGAUAUAAAGCGAAACAUUAGUAGAUUAUAUCGUCACAUAGAUUCUUAUACUCUACUCUGUGAAUGAGAUUGUUGAAACCUAACUUUUUAUGUGUUUUCCAAGUUGUCUCAUAUAAUUUUUCUGGGCCAUCUUUGACGAAUCGUAAUAUUCUGAGUGAAUUUAAAGAGCCAUUCGACGACUGUCUUUGAAAGUAGAUUAUUAAGCAGAAAAAAGAGGUCUUCAUUGAAGAGGUAGACGAAUUAGACAACUGUCGUUACUUUUAUCGUCUAAAUGGGGGUAAUUACUAUAUUAUGUGACUUUUUUCCUUGUUUUAACGUAAAACUGAAAAGCUCUUCAACCAGCCCGUUUUUUGACUAUACUCUAUUAUUGAUGGUUAUCCAGAAAGAUCAUAUGUUUACGUCCAUUAUCUCUAGAUGUUAACGAAAAACAACGGCGAAUAGUAGGAUUUUCGCUUGGGAAGGUGUAAUGUGUUUUCGACCCUAAGAAUAAAGAUAGAUCACACUCUGAUUUUAGGAGUUGUAAAAAUUGUCAAGGUUGGUUCGGUAGCGGUUAUGUGUCGUGUACCUAAAUCUUAGAUUUACCACCUUGUUAUUGACAUAGCGACUCUCUAAGAGUACUUAGUGUUCUAUCACUCGAGGUUGUGAUAGGUUUUUUCUGGCUAGAGGAGUUGGAUCGAAGAUGAGAGUAGAUGAGGUCCAUCAUAAGGGUCGUAACAAGCUUAGUUAUGCAUCCCCUUUAUGUAUUUGGGGUUGUGUAGAUAGUUAGCUAGUGGAUUUCUGCGUAGUGGAGCCUCGAGCUCUUAGCUCCUCAGACCAAUGCAGCGCAGGAGGGCACCAGCCGAGGGGGGUACCGUGCCCCUCUACCAUGUGUCCGAACCCCGAGAAGCUAGCCUCCUUCCUAACUUAAUCCCAAAAAGAUCCCAAAAAACUCCUCUUCGAAGGCGAGGGCUCCCAAAGCCUGCUUCCUCUGUUCUACCCCUCUUUACCCCCUUCUCUUCCCAAACGCGCCUCCUCUCGCUUCUUCAUGUUUAUCCUCCUUGCGAAGCAAGGGACAUCGCAAAACAUCACAACACGAUGCGAAAACGGGCCGAAAAACACCCUUCUCCUCCUCCAGGAGCUCCUCAUUUAUAAUUUUUUUUUUUUAACGUGAACCUUAGGGUGCUUUGGUUCAUUUAUACAUGUUCUUGGGGGGCGUUAAUAGCGAUGAAACUAUAAUUGGGAAUUUGAAAGCGGGAUAAUUAUGACAACCCGGGUAUAACUACCCCGGGGUAAAACACAUAACAAAAGAAUUUUAAUACGUCGGGUCCAACUCGUUUUAUAUUUUUUUAUUCCCCUUUGAAGUUUAUGGGGGACAUCAAAGCGUGAAAGAGUGAAAUCAUGGGACACUAAAGCUCACAUAGUUCAAUCAUGGAACACUAAAACGUGAAAGAAUGAAAUCAUAGGAUACUAAAGUUCACAUAGUUCAAUCAUGAGAUACCAAAGCGUGAAAUAGUGAAAUCAUGGGACACCAAAUUAUAAAACAAUUUAAUAUAUAGGGCUUUACUUAUUAUUUUUCUCUUUUAACUUUGGUGUACCAUAAUUGAACUAUGUGAACUUUGAUAUCUCAUGAUUUCACUUUUUUACGCUUUGGUUUCCUAUGAGUGAACUAAGUGAAAUUUGGUGUUCUAUGAUUUUAUUUUUUCACCCUUUGGUGUCCUCCCAUAAACUUCAAAAAAGAUUAUUUCUCGGUAGUGAUCACCUGUUGUGGGUGGGAACCUACCUACCUACCUCGCAUAGAACAUGUGUCUUGUUUUUUCGUAAAAAGUUUUUAUUUUCGUAAUUUAAACCUCUCUUUAUGUUUUUUUUUUUUGUAAAACGCCACUCGCACCUAGCUUGUGCGCUGGAAGUCUAGAAGUCAGACUGCGAGAGGGUUGACUCGAUAGGGGCGAUCUACUCGUAAAUUGUUUAAGUAUUCAUCAAUUGGCUCAACGUUUUUAAAGUUAAAAUAAAUUAGAUUUUAUUUCUACGACGCUGCCUUUACUUUUUGAUCGUUCCUUUGAGAAACUUUCUUAUAUGUAGUGAACUUUCUUUCGUAUAAGUUAUUUGAAAAACAAUUGACGUGACCACUGGUAAGUUGGUUCUAUCAGUAUUUUUCGAGUUCUCCUCGGAUGUGUAGAUUAGGGGGAUCUAAGAAGCUGUCGGAGUUUCCUCCAACACAGAGGAGUUGUUGGGCUUUUUGCACCUGCGCUUUAAGCUCGCCGAGCUACUCGAGUUUUCGUGUCAUCAGAGGAAGGAGCUCCGUCAAUGGCGCUCGUUUUCGUGGGGUGGGAGGUCUUUCCGCCAGGGAACACGAACCUUACAUGUGGUGGAAGGUGCGUCGCGGACGCUAUGGGUCCCAAGUUAAACUUAAGUUUUAAAUGUAGACUUAAACCUUCUUAACUAACUACGUAAACCGUUCACUGGAGUGGCGAGCCCAGAGCCUCUUGGUACAGCUGGGACAACGCACCCUCUACAAGAGCUCUCUUUGCUUGGCCCUUGGAGACUUAAAUUAACGUGGUUCUUUGUUCACUUAUUCAAAACUUCUCAAUUUCUAUUAAAAUUUCGAGCCGAGACUAAAGUUAAAAGAAGACUCUCAAAGCUAGAAGACCUCAAACAAUGGAGUAAAGUCAAAGCAAACCUUCAUAAAUAGAGUUGAUUCGUUUUGGUUGAUUACGACACCUGGACCCCGGAAAGCUUCCGUCAGGUUCCUUCCUGAAGUAACAAAGCAUUUUGUUUGCAGUCCCGGAUUUUUACGACAUUAACUUUGAUAACUCCUAUUUUAUUAUUACCUCCGACUUGAAUUUCCUGAUUAAACACUAAAUAGGAUCUUAAUACUAACGAACCUUGAGCAUACUUCUCCCGUACGUUCGGAUAUUUAUAACUUAUAAACUACUAAGCCACUAGGGUGUAAACUUGUUCAUCAACUUUCAGUCAUAGUAUGUUCUAUUUAAGUAGCGUGUUAUCAAAACCUACUGCUUUCAUAUAUCUUUGAAUUGCUUCGUACCUUUUGAGCGUCGGUAUUCGGUUUUCUUAGGGAUGCAUCUCGUUUAGGUACACAUUUUUGAGUGGUCGUAUAUACUGGUCAUUUGUACGUAACCUGUGUAAGACUACUACUUUAUUCCUUUACAGCUGAAUUUUCUCCGCCGUCGAAGGACACGAAAGUUAGAAAGAAGUAGACGGUGUCCGGCAGAAGACCUGUAUAUGACCGUCGCAAAUCCUCCUCACCCCUAUCGUGUUUAACCCUCGAGUAGUGGAAGACAAAGUUGUAAUUUUAGAUUUAUUACACUGGUGUUUUAAAAGUUACCCAUUGUCAAACUUCGAAUUCGUUUAUAUCGUAAUUAGAAAAGUUAUUUGACUGUUUUAUACUGCUUGUUUAAUAUAUCGAGUUACAGAGGUCUACUCAUGAACAUAGAUAUAUUACUGAUUCCAUUGUCCCAUUCCUCUCAGUUUCUCUUAUCUUUUCGGUGUAGAAAUGUGUAUCGUAUAAUCAAACCUAACCCACGUGUUUUAUUACGAUAAUAAAUGUUGACUAGUGAUUUUUAUAUUUCAAGGUAUCCUGCAUGGUUCGUGUGUGUAAGGAGAAAUAGUUCCCAGUAAUGUUUAGAAUUGGCUUUACUAGUAAUUAGUACGCUUUUCGAGCUGUAGGUAUCUUGUUGUUACGUAAUAAGCUUCUAAUUAACUUAUCUUCGACGUAACCAGGAAGUGGAGAGAUUAAACCCUUUCGAGAUCAUCUUAUGACGACAAAUUUCUCUGUAUAAACGUAUAUUUCGUGCUUAAACUUCAAGUAGUUGCUUACGUGUCAACGUAGCUACGUACGUGGUUCUUCGAUAUGUUUACUUCUUUUUGUAUGUCUAGCUUUGUGAGGUGUACGAUUCUAUACACAUUUAUUCGAUUUUACGAGUGGAGAUCGAAAUCAGACUUGACUUAGUCUUGUCUGUUGAACAUCGGCUAAUUCGCAUGCUAAAAGCGAUCUUCCUUCGAGACAGUUGAGCGAAAGCGAACGAAGCAAGAACUGCUGCCUCAUCACUUAUAGUCUGCUUUCGAAGACUCCAGAUGGCCGAGCCUAUGACUUGUCUAGAAGAGAGAGCGUUCGCCAAAAUAGCUUGUGAUAUUGUCACUUUACGUACGAAGGCAGCAUGGCUUUCUGAUCCUUGAGCAUGAGGAAGUAGCUUACCAGGAAGUGUUUGAACCCGGUAGGCAAUCAGUCCUUGCACGGGAAACGUCAGAACGGAUCGAGCUGCACGGUAAACGAAGGCGACCCUGGGAGCUCCUACCGACAAAACCUACGAAGAAAGCUUAAUAAGCAGCAGGCGCUGCGGAGUCAACUCUAUACAAACUCCUUCAAGCCGCCCUAGAAGACGUGUGCGUCUUUCUAACAAUACUUUUAGUAACUAAGCAAACAUUUAGCUUAAAGUAGCAAUUUUUUAGUAAACGAACAAAUUCAAGACAACGUCAUUUAACCGUACGUUUUGGCUCACAAGGUUUUUCAUUGUCGAGCCUGUUCAAGAAAUGGAAAAUCUGAAAAUCCGAGUUCACUAGAAUCUCCGUGUUAAUAUUCACAUAGUUCUACUAGGUUUGGUUAAUUAUUCAUAUGAACAUUCAUUGAAAAAAUAAGUAAAAUUUUAAAAUAAAAUGUUGAUUUUCCAUUUAAUUUAUUUCUUUGACUUUUUAUGGUCAGUCGAGACGUUGAAUAAAUCCUUAAGGACUGUCUUUGACUGUUUUAACUAAAAAAAAAAAAAAGUUUUCUUGUUCCUCGAGUUUAUUUUUAUUCCCUUGAUAUAAGGUUACUUAACAUCAUUUAAAUUCGGGGAAUUCUUCGUUUUUAUCGCUUCGGUAAUUCUUCAAUUUUGGCAUCGUAGAUUUGUUAUUUGGGGGGGCGACAACGAUCCUCUGGGAUGUAACAAGGUCUGUAAAAUCAAGGGUUCGCUCUUUUUGAAAUGGUCCGCGACGCGCUUCAGCGGCUCUUCAUGAAACUUCUUCACCCCGAAGGCGCAAAGGCUGCUCGUGAAGCGCGCCACGAAGAAGCGGCAGUAAAAAAAAACAAAAAAACAAAACAAAAAAAAAAAAAAACACCCACGCACACAACCUAAUCAUCACUUCUGACUUCUCACUUCCUCCUCUGCUGCUUCUCUUAAAAACCUACCGCUUAAACCCCCACCUUCAGCCUCCCUGCUCUGCUUCGCCCUCACUUCUGACCGCGCCGAAAACUCCUACCCCCCCGGCUCCCUCGCUCGACCGUCAGGCGCGCUGCUCACCAGCGCAGGCAGGCGUUUGGCUUCUGGGCAGGUGCCUCCCUGCCGACAGUCGCCCUAAAAUAACCGCGGCCCUUAUUUGGAAGGCAGCGACUGACACUGCACUCUUUAAAUAACGCAUCUGGCGUCACGUGUCUGGGUUCAGAGGGCAUGUAGGGGCUUUUCCCCUUUGCCCUUAUGGCAUACGCACCUAUAUUAAAUUAUAUUCUUGUAAAUUAAGGUAUGUUUUGUAUGCCUUAUUAUUCAUAUAAAAAUAUUUAAAUUUAAAAUAUAUAAAUAAAGACAUUUUUAAAUUAUUUUAAUUAUAAACAGAUAGGCUAAUAUAUAAUAUAUUUAUAUAAAGAUAUAUCUCUCCCUCUUUCUUUCUCCCUAAAGUACAUCCUAUGUUCACCUCUCAUCUCAUAAUNUUAUUAUGUAGGGGACGUCCUACCAUAAUGGCACCGGUGCUGUUGCCGUCGCUAGCCGCCCCCUCUGCGAUGCCUCCUAUGUCCUCAACAAGGACAACACUAAUGCUGUCGCCUUCGCCGGCCGCCCCCUUUGUGAUGCUUUUUGCGUUCUCAACAAGGACGACACUAACAUCAUCGCGUUUGCCAAUCUAUUACUUAUAUUUUUUUUAAUAACUAUUAUAUGUUUAUGCUUAAAUAUAGUUAGAGAAAAUAUUGUUGUGUUAUACUGACUAAGUAUUUUUUUUAAAUCUCUUUUGCAACCAAUUUGGUGAGAUAUAUUAGAAGGACUUCAUAUUAAUUUUCUUUUAUUAUCUAUUUAAGAAAAAGAAUAAAGAAAAUUAUGAAAAUGGUUAGAGUAGCACUUUUUCAAAUCAUAGCUCUUUCAAAUCAUAUUAUAAAGUUGGCUUGAAGUUGGAUUUAUUAGAGCUCUUAUAUCUAAUGUGUUUCAUAUUACUUUUUUUUUUUGAGAGAUAGGUUGCACGCUACCCGCUUCGUUUACUUCAUUUAGAAAUAAACUUAGCUGAAAAUGUGAAUCAACUAGGAUUCGAACUUGGGCCUCGGGUACCAACCACCAAGUCCUUUGCCACUUGCUUUAGGGACGGUCGGCAAUGUGUUUCAUAUUACUGUAACAAAGAUAUUUAGGAUGAGUAUUAGGUGAGAGUAAACUUGAACAAGGUUUAUCGAGAAGUCAUCAUAUAUAUAUUUGUUUCCAUGAAUUUUAAUAUUUUGAUAGUAGUUGAUUUCUUUCUUCAAAUACUAUAGUGCUAUUAGAUGCUAGAUAUUUUCUACUGGAUGAAUAACGCAUAAUUUUCAUCUUUACUAGUAAUUGUCUUUCUUCUUCUUUUGUUUAAAUUUUAUAAGAUAUAUGAAUCUAUUCUUACUAAGGGUUAAAUCGCUAACUAUGUGUUUUAUGGUAAGCAUAUCUCAGCAUCCAAAACCUAUAUUCCGAUUAUAUAAAUUGUUUCUUAAUUAUAUGAAGUCAUUCUUUCUUCUUUCUCACUCUUACUAUACAUAUCUUUCUUUUUGCUUUUCCUUCCAAUGUAAGCAGUAAUAUUUUCCAUGAUUUGUCCUGCAGUAAAGGAAUGAAAGCUUUCAAUUGUAGAAAUUUCUUUCCAAUUUUGUUGGAAAAUAAUUCAUUAGAUAAGCAGAUUUAGAAUUGAAAGGGAAAACCUAGAUGACUAAAAUACAAAGAAAAUUUGCGGAAUUGAAUUAAAUUUUUAUGUUGCAAAAAUUUAGGAAACAAUUGGCCAAUUAUGUUGUAAACAGUACCAACUAUAAAUUCUCUUUAAAUCUCAAAAUUAGCUAUUUAUGUAGGUCCUUAUAAAAUCUAAAUUUUCAUUUAUGCUCUUUAGAAACUUUCUUUUCGUUAUGUACAUAUUUAUUCUUUUAAAUCACUUCUUAAUAAAGGACUUCUAAUACAAACCAAUUUCUAUAGAUUAGAUGUAGUGAGGUAAAGGUAUUUGUUUUCUGAGUUUGCACCUUCGAAGGGUAUAUUUAUGUACUAGAGGAUAUUGUUGGACAUAUAUAUAAAAGUUCUUACAAAGACAUGACUUCUACAUAGACAUGCAGAAGAGAGCUGCUAUCUCCACUCGAGCCAAGAUACAACUUUUACCAAAAAUUUAUUGUGAUCUUUUUAUUCAAAUAACAAUUAAGAUGAAGUAAUGUCAGAAACAACAAAUCUCUUUAUGAUAAAUAGAUCCAUCGGACUAAUGGCGUAUACAAUACUCGAAUUAUUGAUGUAGAUGCUCAUCCUUCAACUACGAGUGUAAUUGGAGCAUUUGUUGACAAAAGAAUAACCCUAAGAUGAUCAUCUCAUGGCUAUUGAGAAUAAAUCAAAUCAAGUGAUUUGUUUAAAUUCUUUACAAAAAUUUAUUUUCAAGUUAUAAUAAAUAAAAAAUUUUGUUACAAUAAUAUCAACUCGUUGCAUUACGCGAGAUACUACAAUAGUAUAUUUAUUAUAAUCUUAAUCUGCAAGUAUAUUGGCGCUACAAUCUAUUUUAAUUUUUAGUAAAUGAAAAAAUGAUAAAAUAAGAGAAGAAAAGGUAGCCAUUGGAUUUGAAUUGUUAUAGGACCACAACCUAACGUGGGUUGCAGAUCAGGCACAAAUUUUUUUAUUUUUAUUUUUUAUUUUUUAUGGUGUGAUUCUUAGCAAUCACGAAAAAGAGAAUUCUAACGGAUAAGUACCGAAAGUUAAUGGAAGGAUAUUUUUGUAAGGUAUUGAAAGUCUAGAAGGAUAUAUGUACAAUUUUAAAAUUUAAAGCUAUUUAUAAACUUUUAAGGAGUUGUCUUAUUUAUCUCUAAAAUUUGAAGUAUCCUGUGGAUUAUAUAGACAUAGAUAAAAUUUAUCCGUAAAUUUUGGAUAGUCUACAUCUUUAUCCAUAUCAGCCCAAGAGCGUGCGGAUGGAUAAGCAGGUUACUGGUAUAUUGUUCCUUUUUUUGUUGCUCCUAUAUUUUUUAAAUAAUUAUUAAAAAUUAUAAUAUAACAUGUUAUUUGAAAUAUCACAACAUACAAUAAAUAACGCAUAGUUAGUUAAUUCGAAUUGGGAAAAAAUUCAGUACAAGUAUAAUACGAAUAAAAUUCGUAUUCUAAUGUUUAAAUUCGUUGAAAAAUACGGCUUAAAAAAUAGGUUUGCGAAUUAUUCAGAUACGCGGUUUAUACGAAAAUUAUAUGUUCAUCAAUUAAAAAUUCGGGGUUAAAAUUCGACUUGUAAAUCAAAUUUUUUUUUCUAAAUUUAUGUUACUAGCAUAAACAGUUAUAAUUUUUAAGAAUAUAAAAAUAGAGAGCUACAAAAUAAAGUAGAUUAGAUAAAAAAAUAAUAGCAAACUAUAUUAUAUACCACGAUAUAUAAACAAUCAAGCAAUAAAGAGAUUAAGAUAGUCUAUAAUUUGUCUGCGACCACAAAUGACUUAUCUCGCACGGUUAAUCUAUUUUGAUUUUCCAUAGGAUGGUAUUCAUGAUUCGGAUCAAUAUUUCAAUAUAUAUAAAUAGGUUUCAAGUAUUGUAGAUUCAUGGCUUCCAAUAAAUGUAAGCAUUUACUGUUAAUUACCCCUAUUAAAUAUUAGGGCACCUUCGAUUAAGCGACCUCUGAAAUGCUGAAUGAGAAAUAAACUGGAAUUGAACAAAAAAGGAUUUUAUAAUAUAGUUUAUCAUUCAAUUACAUAGCUUUAACCACAGGCAUACCCCCAGUAUACAUAAAUAGAGCAUAAAAAGAGAGAGUGCUUAAUUUAACGAUACGACGGUCAGUUGAACUUAAUUUUGAUUGAACCUUAGUUAUAUAUUCCAAGACGCCCAAAGUAUAUGAUUAAGUUGAUUUGGUUGGGUUCUAUAUGUUUCGGAGCUCAACGUUGUUCAUCCUAAGAUGAAAGAUUGAUUAAAUUUCAUGUAUAUAUUGGGAUUUAAUCAGAUUUAAUUGAAAUUAAACUCUAAUUAGAUGCAUUAGAGUUCGAUUUGGUUAAUUGAACUCUAAAUGUAUGUGUUAAAGUCCAAUGAAAUUUGACUUGGUAUUUAGUUUAAGCCUUCAUCCUAAAUAUAUGUGUUGGGAUGAGCUCGAAUAUUUUAAGUCAAACUCAAAUUUUAUAUCUUACGGUGCGUUUGGUUCGAGUUAUCCUGGCAGGAUUACAGGUAAUCCUGCCAGGAUAACUGUGUUUGGUUAAUCCGCUAUGUAAUCUAGUCGUUAAUGUAGCAUUACAAAUCGAGCAGGAUUACAUCGAAAAUAUUAACGGGAGGGGGGUCGUGUAUCUUGCAUUACUGAAACCCGUUAAUAAUACAUAUUAUGUAAAAUGGCAAUUUUACCCUCCAACAACCCCAAAUCUAAUUAACAGCAUUAUUUUCAUCUCUCUCUCGUCUUCCUCCCUCUCUCUCGCACGUCGCUUUCUCUCGCUCUCUCUCUCUACCUCUCUCUCUCUCUCUCUCUCCCUCUUUCUCUCUCUCUCUCUCUCGCACGAACACCUAUCAUCUUCUAUUGCGUCGUCCUUCCAAGUAAUCAUCAUGAUCUCCUUCCCUCCAUUCGUCAUUUUCGCAAAAAAUAAUAUUCAAAUGACCACAACAAAGGCAAUUUUGGAAAAAACUAUACUUUUAUGUCAGGAUUACUAAAUUUUAUAAACUGAACCAAACGUAUUAAUGCUAUAAACACUGUAAUCUAGUAUUAUAUUACUGCAUUAAACCAAACGCGCUAAUGCAGCAUCAGUAGUAAUCUUACGCCGAAAUCUAAGAUACCUGGAUAUGUCGAGAUACUUUGUAAUAUUACAUAACUCGAACCAAACGGGCCCUUAGAGUCAAGUGAAACUAAGCCCUAAACGUAUACAUAAGAGCUUAGUUAUAUUUACUUUGGGUUCGUCAUAAGGUGAAGUAUUGACUAAUCCUUAAUUAUAUAUUAAGAUUAAUCAAAAUUAAACUCUAAGUAUAUGUGUUAGAGUCUAAUUAGUUGGAUUUAAUUAGGUAAAACCUAAUUUACUAUUUUUACCUUAGUCACAUAUACUAAGAUAAAAAAAAGAUGGUAUGUUCAAUUCUAAACAUAUAUUUUAGAAUCCGAUUAAGUUUGAAUAUUAUAGCAAUAUGAUUCUAGUUUAAUGUGCUAGAGGAUUGGGUAAAAAAAUUUUGUCCCUAACUACUUAAUAUAGAAAAGAUAUAGGGAUUGAUAUAUAAAAAGGUUGAAAGGAAUUUGGAUCGUGUUUCAAAUAAUUUGAAUUAGGUUCAAUUGGAAUUUGAUAUGGACUUGAGUUUAGGCUUUAGUGUUGGUCGAUAUGGUUUGGUUUCGUACUCAGGUUGUACCUGGCCCAUGUGGCUUAGGUUCAAGAUUGGAUUUGACUUGGUAAGCAUGAUUUCAAGUUUUGGUUUGGGUUAGAUUUUCGGAUUUAGUUCUAGUCUAUAUGAGGAGAUCCAUGUAGUUCUUUAAGUCUCAUGAAGAUCUAAAUUGGCCUUGACUAAUUCUUAGUUCAGGCUUGAUCUAGUUUGGGCACUUUUUUUUUAUUAUGGUCUAGUUUGGGUUAGGUUUGUAUUCAAACCUGGGCCUGGGCUCGGUGUGGAUUCAUGUAAUUUAAGUUAAGGUUUAAUUUUGCCGUGGAUUCAAGCACAGGCUAAAUUCACGCUCAUAUAGUAUGGAUUUAGGCAUGGACUAGUUCAGGUCCAUAUAGUAUGGAUUCAGGUUGAAGCCUGAAUUGUAUCAAGUUCUCUGGAUGUGGACUCAGGCUCAAUUUAGGUCUGUAUGGCUUAGGUUCACGUUUCUUUGGGCAAGCUAUAGAAUUGGUCCCAAAUUCAAGUUUGGGCUAAACUUGGUCUAAGUUUAAAUUUGAGGUGAGUAUGGGUUUGAAGUGAGCUUUUGCCCAUACGAAAUUUUUUAUUUUGAGGUGGUUGGUUUUGGAUUUAGGUCCAGAAUGUUAGGGCUAAGCGUUAGAUUUAUCUGGGACAUGUUUGAGAUUAAAAUUUUAAUUUCGAAAAUUUAAACUUCAAAUUAGAUAUCUAAUUUAGAAUCGUUGGGCUUAGAUUAAAUUCAAUGCCUUUUAAAAUUCCCAAUGCACUCUUUAAUUCUCAAAUUCCCAAUCCAGAAUAAUAAAAAAUCAACUCACACAAAUUAAUUAUAAUCACUUGAUUUAAUUUGGCCCAUAAAGCGUCCAAAUAUUGAAUAUGAUUAAGUCUCAAUUUGAUCUAAUUUGGCCAAAUCGAGGGGUUCGACUCUUGAUAGAAUCAAACAUUCCGUUGUUCUUUCAAUAAAGGGACGAUCAAAAGAGUAAUAAUCGGUAAUUCGAUGAUUUCUUUUGCCUCCCAAUAUAAGAGAAUUAAGAGAGCAUUUUUUUUUUUCUCCUUUACCUCCUUUGAAGGUAUAAGACAACAAAAAUUGAUAAUCCUUCUUUGCCUCCUUUAUAUUCAUGGGACUACUAAAAUGGAAAAAUUCCUUCCUUGCCUUCCUUUUAAUAACAAAGCUCUCUCUUUCCUAAUGGGAGGAGUAAGUUCCCUUUCUCUUUCUGUGACAUAUAUACAUAUUUUUUAUAGAGAGAAGAGCACCGCUCUCUCUCUAUAUGCAGGUUAGAUUUCGCCGUCGAAAAAUGCAUCUUGGGCAUUUCAUCGAACAGUUGGUGGGCGUGGUGCGUUGCGCAACACUAGUUUCGCGACUAUGUUGGAGUCGCAGCAGAGUUGUGGUUCGGCAGUGUCGAUAGUGAUAAGUCGAGGCGCAGCAGCGUUGGAGAUGGGGUUGGAAGGCAUGCGAGUUUAUGACGAGGGCGUUGGAUCCGGUCACCCCAGUGAUGGGGACGUUGAGCUCAACCAUCUUCGCCUUGCUCGCACGAUUUCUAAAUACAGUAGAUUAUUCACGGUAUUCUUCAAAAUAUUAAAAUUAUUUUCAGAAUUUAAUACUAUAUACAUUUCAGAGUUUAGAUGUAGAAAAUAUAUAAGCUACAUAAAAGCGGUGAAUGGUUGGUUUACCGCUUUUAGAAAGUAGGGAAUGUCCGCUUUCUAAAAGUGGUAGACAAUUCACAGUUCAUAUCUAGUUUUAUAAAUAAAUAUUUGGAUAUCUAUUUUUACAAUAAAAAAAAUUCCAUAAGCUUAGUAGUCUAAAAAGCCCUAUUUUAAAUUGUCCCUUUAUAGUAACUUAGUGAAAAUUGUUAAUAAUCAUGGUAUAGCUGUAAAUAAUAUUGUUUAAGGUCUAUCCUAGAUAUCAAAAUUUUUGACAGGUCUAGGCCUACUUUACAACUUAUUACCUUGAAUAAACAAUAUUUUUAUAACACGUUAAAGAUUAUUCUGGCUAUUUCUUACUAUAUCGAUCUUUUUUGGUAAUAUAGUAUCGGAACUAGCUCGCCAAAUAAUUUAUAGUCCCGUAGUAAGGUGUCUUGCAAUCUAUUUUGAGAUUUGGAGUUUGGAGCCUCUCUAUGUGUGUCAAAAUAAGAAUAAAACAAUGAAACUAAAAAAAAAAAAAGAAAAAAAAAAAGAGAUUCUAAGCUUCUUUAGCUGCAUAAGACUCUUAAGUACAAAUUCUCACAUCUACUAGUCUUUCUGAGUUCAGGUCUAUGUAGAUCGAAUGACAAUCAAAGAGAGGAGGUAAAUUAGUCUUCCAAGAGAAAAGGUAAGUUAAUUAUAUCUACAAAAGUCAAUUAAGAUACGACGAGAAAAGUGUAAAAGAAAUGCAAACUCAAUGAGCACAGAUUUAAUGUUUUGAGGUUCGAUCUUCUUUUCUUUUAAGUCCCCGUCGAUUCGCAAUACCUGAGAAGUUCGAUUUUCAUUAUCUGAUACUUUUGUUACUCCAGUACAAUGUUUUUUUGUCUAUUUUAUAGAUAAGUAUCAAUGUUUUACUCUACUUGUCUUUUUCUCCUUAAAAGAGAAGCUUUCCGGUAAACAAGAUUUCAGCUCUUUCGAUACAACAGAAUAAAAAAUCGCUCUGUUGGAAGCCGAAUUUCCCGACCUUUGACCCAGUCAAAGAUUCUCCUAGGAAAGCGCGCCGGGGUGAGGAACGGUUGCGAAUAGUGACCCUCGAAGUUUGCGCCCUUCGACAGAUCAAGCGAUUCGGCUGACGAGGGAUCGAGCCAGCCGGGUUCGAAAACCACUACUAUAGAAUCGAUUCGGCUGGAGGAGCCGAAUGUAUGAACUGUGCAGGGAUCAAUGUCGGCAGAAGAGCCGAAUGGAAAAAGUACACAGUAACUGGUCGGCUGAAAGAGUCGAAUAAAUGAAAUACACAAUGACUGGUCGGCUGAAAGAGCCGAAUGCCUUUAUAUAAUAAUAAAAAGAGUGUGCCCGAAGGGCAUACAGACUCAGAAAUAUAGUUUACAACAGAGUGAUGCCCGUGGGGCAGAUAGACUUUGCAAAUGUAGUUUACAACGGAGUGAUACCCGUGGGGCAGACAGACUCUAGGGUUAUACUUAGCGAACUACUCCUAGGAAAGCAGUAAAUGCGGAAAAGAAAAAGAUUAUAUUUAGACUAUUCCUAGAAAAGCGAUAAAAUGCAGAGGAAAUAAGGGUGAUCUUUUGUGCGCAGGGGUAAAGACCUCUAUUGCAGGCUUCAAAGUUACUAUUUAUAGCUCACAUUAUUAGUUGGUUGAAAGAAGUUGGGGGGAGUGGCUGUAACCAUGAUCGUGGAAGUUAUACUAACUCCUCAUGGAAGUUACGCUAGCUCCUCAUGGAAGUUACGCGCCAAUUUUCAACCGUUCCCGCCUUUUUGUCAUUCAGACGCCUUAUUGCCGACUCCUAGUGUACCACGUGUCAUUAUUGGCUCAUACGUGGGUUAGGUCGGCUCAAUUUUUGUAUCAACACGCUCUAAAAAUAACUUAAGCUUAGAAAGAGAGUAGAGGACUCAAAGAAAUAUAUUCAAGCUCAAUAAUGUCCCAUUUUAAGCCGCAAGCCUAUCUUUUUAUAGCCAUAAUAAAAAGGUAUAGUCGUUAUACUGUUGGGAUCCUAAUACUAAAUGUUGAGAAUCCACAACCCAUUUUGAUACUGAUUGCUAUAAAUUCGAUAUUUGCUUUGGUGCCGAUUGUUAGAAUUUUGUGAUGAAAGCGUUAAAUCAAAAUUUUACCAUGCAGUCGUCAUCUUAGCAAAACCUUAUGCAACUGCAAAGGAGAGAAAAACAAAAUAAAAAAUAUAGGUGAAACAAGGGUCAUUAACUAAACAAACUAAGAAAAAAAUUACACCUAAUUCUCUUUUACACAGACCGACCAUCCCUAGAGUAAGUGACAAAGGAGUUGGUGGUUGGUACUAGAGACCCAAGUUCGAAUCCUAGUUGAUUCACAUUUCUUGCUAAGUUUAUUUCUAAAUGAAAUAAACGAAGCGGGUAGCGUGCUACCUAUCUUUCAAAAAAAAAAAAAAAUCUCUUUUACACAGAGCAGUUUCAACCAAAGGUAGACUGCUGGGUAUGGCCCAGCACCACCUGCAGCCGUGCCUGGUCGGGACGGCCCACGGGCCACCCAGCCCGUUUGACAACCCUGCAUCAAGUGUACUUACACCAAUUUGGUUUUUGUGUGCCCUUUCAUAUCCUUCAUCUUGAACUCCACUCAUAAGAUUACUAGUUUUACAAUAUAGCCAGAAACAAAAGAAUCAACUUGGUCAAAUUGACCCAAUGAAGUACAGAUAGUUUGCCUUGAACUUGAGCUCUUGAAUCUUCUUCUAUCUUCACCAUGUGGCCUCAAACUUGAGUUCUACAAAGAUUAGUACUAUUAAAAUCAAACUCAAUUGAAGCAAUUAGUAAUUAAAAUUAUCAUUAUUUGUGAUGAUCAAAGUACAAUAAUUAAGGCUACUAGGCCAACUAGUCUCAUAUCCGUCAUUAAUGAUAUCACGCCCCGAGUUACAAGAGAAGUCCAGAUUACGUUAACAAAUCCGUCGUAUACAUCAGGAUACACCUUAUGCAUAUGAAGUGUCAGUAAAAUCUGUCUAAAGAAGUUUUCUCAAAUCUAAUAACAACAGUUAUCAGAGCAGAAUAACAAUUAUAUACUACAGCAACACUGUAAAUAUAAAAUCAUCACUACUCAAAUCUUCAAAAUAUUACAACAUCUUCGACCACUCCAAACCUCAAAACAUUGUACAGUCUACUAUAUACAAUGAUAGGUGGUCCAGCUAUGCACACAAGAAGGGUAGGAGAUGGUAGCUAUUCGUAAUCCUUUUUUCUCGCUCAGUCGCUAGUGUUGAAGACUCUGAAAUAAAAAUAAUAAUAAAAAGGUUGUGAGAACCAUAAUCAAUAGUCUAGUGAGUAUGGUUAACAAUGUCGAUGGUCUAUAAGAGGUAGAAAUAGUAAAUAACUGAGCAGUAUGAUCGAAUAGCUAAUAAUACGAAUAAUUGCUGAAAAUAACUACUGCUAUCAUUUCUCUAUAAUAUAACUGAAAAUUGUAAAUCAUAUAUCUCACACAUCAACUAAAUAGUGAACAAAAUAAUGUAAUAAUAUCCAAUCAUGAUGGCUAACUCAGUAGUUAGAUCUCACCUGCGCCGCCUCAUGUCCAGCACCUAUCAAUAGUGGUUCGCUACCACGCAGGCUACUGUCUGGCCCAUGCCAUAAUAAUAUAUCAUAAUCUAAUCUCCGAAGUGGCAUUCACAGGGCGUUAACCUAACCGAGUAUAGUAUUACUAUCAAACUCAAUAUCGCAUAUAGACUGUAGCCAAAUGUGAUGAUCAAACAGAACAAAAUAAUACCGUCAUAGCGUCCCAUAUAUAGUAAUGACCUUACACUAUCUACCACUGUCUACUAGCCUCCAAAGCUAUAUCAUAUAAUAUUAACAGUGAAAAAUAUGCAUGUUUCAAUAUACUCUACAAGAAGGUGUCAAAAUACGACUACCAUCUCAAGUAUAUCAAUAAAUCAUGUGGCAUAUUAAAUAAUAUAGUAUGAAUAUAGGAGUUAGUCCGCCAAAUUUUGGCAUGUUAUCCCAAAAGGAGGUGGGAGAAGAAAAAGAAGAAGCACGACACCAACCCAAAAACUCUUAUAUAAUCAACUCUAUAAAUACUCUCUGUUAGUUAAUUCGUGAAUUAUUCGCGAAUUAUUAAAAAUCCGAAUACAACAGACCGUAUGUGAAUUUUUUUCAAAAAAAUAAUAAUAAAACGUGAAUUUUUUGGGCUAGCCAAAUUAUUCAUGAAUUAUUCACGAAUUUAGUAGCAUAAAUUUAGAAAAAAAAAAAGUUUAAUUUAAUAGUCGAAUUUUUUAUUACGAACUUCUAAUUGAUGAACAUAUAAUUUACAUAUAAAUCGCGUAUCCGAAUAAUUGAUGAAUCUGUUUUUAAGCUAUAUUUUUAACGAAUUUAUUAAUUAGGAUACGAAUUUUAGUUGUAUUAUAUUCGUACUGAAUUUUUACUGAAUCCGAAUUAACUAACUAUAUAAAUACUAUGUGCAUAAAAUAUUACGCAGAUCAGUCCUCAAUCUCCUCCAAAAAUCACCCUCUCUCUCUCUCUCUCAGUAGAAAAGAAAAGAAAUGAAAAAAAAAAAAGAGAGAGAAAAAGCACCUCAGCCAACCUGUACAUAUAAUUUCAGCCAAAUACCCACUUUCGGAUGGCCGAAAUUCAAUUCGUGUAUCUAAAAUCCUGUCUCUUUCACAUCACUCACCAAUUCAUUUUCGAGCUCAGAUUCGGGCACUCAAAAAUGAGCUCGGAUUUUCUGAAUGCACUUUUGGGCAUUCGAAAUAAGGAUUCAAAAGUAUUUCGGCCGCUACAGUAGCUUUCGGACUACUGCAGUAACUUCAGGGCGCCUAGUUUCUACAUCCAGAAAUCCACUAGCAGUCCAAAUUCAUCCGAAAUCUAAUGUGUGAUCUCGUUUUCGCGUCGAAACAGAUCGAAAUCACUCCAAUAUGCUAUAGAGAUGUCUGUCAUUAAUUAAUACUGCAAUUUUACCUAUUUGUUAUCGCAAAUGACAAAAUGCUCUUACUAUUUUUUUUUUGUUGUUGUUAUCUGGAUCUUUUCUUUUAGGGCUUGUUUGGUUCAUCCAUUUUUGGUAUGGAAUGGAAAUCGGUUUGAUCAAAUCCGGUUAAUUUUGUUUGGUUCGCAUGAAUCGGUUUGAGAUUCCUAUUCCGGACUGGAAUGGGAAUGGCCCAUUAGUCUUCAACUUGAUUCCGGUCUUCUAGCUUGGAUUGAGAUUUCAUUCCGGAAGCCCACUAAGUUCUUGAAACCCAUGUGACCAUCUCACCCUCAUUCUCUUCACCCCUUUCUCAUCAAAAAAAAAAACUUAUCUUCUCUCAAAACCUUAUCCUUAACCCACAUCAAUAAAAGUUUUUAAAAAUAAAUUUGAUAUUUUUUUUGGAAAACUUAUUAGAGAAUAGUAUUAUAUUUUUCAUAAAUUUUAAAUAAUAUAAAUUUAUAUUUGAGAGUAAAAUUAGUAUUAUAGUAUCCUAUAAUUUUUUUAGUUUAUACGAACCAAACAAUGAAAUGUGAAUAACUCAUUCCUAUUUCCAAUCCAUAAAUAAACCAAACGUCUUGGGAGAGUGGGCCAUUUUAAUUACCAUUCCAAUUCUAUUCUUGAACCAAACAAGCCCUUACUGCUUAUGGAUGUUGAGACUUCUCCUAAACUGUUGUUUCCCAGCGGUCGAAUUUAUUUGGCAAACAAAAUAGUAGCAACGCUAUCGUUAUCGAUUUUAAUGACCUUGGCUCAUUGUUUCAGACAAAAAAGGGGUUGGUUUAAAAGGGGGAUUCCCAAUGCAUGUGGGCCCCUCCUUGAUUCAAGAGUUUUAGCUGAUUAGAUCCAUAGAAUUUGCAAAUAUAUAAUUUACCAAAAACCAUAUUUAACCUUAAUUCCUAUCAAUUCAAAUCUACAAUUCUGAUAUAGAAUUUAAAGAAUCCGAUCUCCUAAUUUAGAAGGCUAUUUAAUUUUAACUAUUUAUUGUUCCCGGCAAAUUGUUUAGUUAACAAAAUAAUUUUAAAAAAUAUAAGAUUUAGUUUUCCAAAUAUUUAAAUAAUUUAUAUUAUGUUUACCUACAUUGAACACCAAAUCGAUCUUUUAUUAUAAAAAAUAUAUGCAACUUAAAAGGGAAUAAAAAUUUUAUGGACAACUAAUUAGUUUGGGGACUAUGUGGAUCGGCGUCACGUGGCCGAUCUGACGGCCACGUUUUUCAGUUGCUUUUUCUCUCUCUCUCUCUCUCUAAAAACGCAGUUUUUUUUUUCUUUCCAUCCGUGGCCCGUUUGGUUCAAGUUAUAUAAUAUUACAGAGUAUUUUGAUAUAUCCAGAUAUUUUGAAUUUCUAAAAGAGAUUACUACUUAUACUGCAUUAGCGUGUUUGGUUUAAUACAGUAAUAUAAUACUGGAUUACAGUGAUUAUACCAUUAAUAUAUUUGGUUCUGUCUAAAAAAUUCAGUAAUCUAGACAAUAAAGUACAGUAUAUUUCAAAAUUAUCCUUAACCGUAUUUUAUAAAAAAAUUUUUUACUAUUUACAAAUAAUAUUUUGUAAAUUAAUAUUAUGUACUGGGUAAACGCACCCUAAAAGGAAUCGGUGUCCUUAACCAAACGCACCCUAAAAAGAAUCGGUGCUAUUAAUAGUCCAAGAGGUCAACUCAAAAUUAAUAUUAUGUACCGGGCAAUUCUUGGACUUUAGUUCUCCUCGUCUACCCUUAUAUAAUUUUAUUACUUAACGCAUGAAGCAUGAUUAACCUGGAUAAUUAACUUAAUCCAGCAUGUUUAACUAUUUAUUAAUAUUUUAACCCUCGGUUUAGCUUAUAAAUCAAACAACUCUCUGUGGAGCCUAAGCUUGAGCUGGCUCGCUAUUGUUAUAAGCCGCAGAGCUUGUUUGAUUCUGCUAUAGAUUAUAACUAACGACGUACCCGUACUUUGUCGCGGUAUGAUAGAUAUGUUCAUAAUUAUAUUUAUAAAAUAUAGUAUAUAUAUUUUUAUUAAAUAUAUAUAUUAAAGAGUUGAGCUAGAAUACUAUCGGUAGUAAACGAGCUGUUUUACUACCGAUUUGUUUUCGAUGAUAGAGCUUCCAAAUUGACGAUUGGCUCCGUUAAAUAUGAUCAAAACCAUUUAAACUACCUAGAAAUUAAAUUUCACGCACUUUCGAUAUUGUUCUUUUAUCCAUCAAGUGAACAGAAAAAUAAAUGGCUGAAAAUGAAUACUCUUUAAAAAAUGAUGAUAGGAGUCUUGUAAUCAAGAUCAAGAGUAUAGAUCUUGUUUUAAAUAGUUUAAAGAAUUUUCUAAUAAAAAAUUCAAUUGUUGUGGAUAUCUUUACGCUUAAACAAAAAACCCUCUUAAUCGACCAUUAAAUUACACAAAAAUUUGAAACCCUUGAAUCAUUAUGGUCAAAUGAAUGUCGAAAAGAUUUGAAAAUUUGAUUUCUAAACACUCAUGGUAUAGAUCAUCGUUUCAAACGGAAGCCAAUCGUCAAUUUGGAAGUUCUAGUUAUCGAAAACAAAUCGGUAGAAAACGUGCUCGUUUACUACCGAUAGUAUUUCUAGCUCGAGACCUAUAUUAAAUAUAUAUUUGUAUCAAAUAUCCUAUUUCAAAAUAUAAAAGUUUGUAACUUUAAAAAAAAAUACUUUCGAAUGGUCAAAAGUUGGAAAUUAGAAGAAUCAAACAAUCUCAAACUUCUACUCUUUCGAAUUCUACUCAAAUCUCAGAAAAAUACAAAUUAUUGUAGAAUAUAAUAUGUAAAUAUCUACCUUCUAGAUUUUUUAUUAAGUAAAUCUUCAAAACACCAUUAUCUGAUUUCGCACUUUUUCACUUUAGUAUGAGGGUUUAAAGUGUAUGCAAUUUAGUGUUCUGUGAUUUUAAUUUUUAUUUUUUUCGUCAUUCUUUUUUUUAAUAUUGUUUUUUAAAUUAAUACAAAAAAAUUCAAAGCCUUUACUGUAGUUUUAUCGAAAGCACCUUUAGUAUCCUUAUUUAAUCUUUGUCACUGACAUAACGAAAAAUUAAUGAAAGCGAUAUAAAAAAAGAUAAAAAUAAAACCAAAUAUUUUAAAGCCAACGAUGAUACUAAAAGAACGUGUGAAACCAUAAAGGGUGGUGAUUUGAAAGUUUUUUCUUAUUUAUUUGAGCUACUUUAGUUUCGAAAAUUAAAUUCUUUCGUAUUUUGCUAAUAGGUAGACGGGAUUUGGUUGCUAUUUGUGUAAGUGAACUCUAAUUUAAUUUUUCUACCCCUCUCUACGUUGUCUAUUUUUCGGUGCUCUCUUCUUCCGCAACGCGUGCGCACUGCAUUUUUUUUUUUUUGUCCUUUUCCGCACGAGCGCACACGUUUCUCUCGAUCCCUUUGUCCACCGACAUCCAUCGGUCAGGCGGAUUUCGUGCACCGUCGAGAAUAUUAUUUAUCUUUGUUUCCCUUGCCAAGAUUCUUAUUAUAAUAAAAUUAAGUUACAUAGACACAUUUUAAAGAUAUUUUUAUAUAAAUAUCUUAUUUAUAUUAUUUUUUUAAAAAAAAAUUUACUAAAACCUAAAUAUAAAGUCCAAUUCAAUUAGAAAUAAAAGUUUCUCUUCUCAACCAAUCCUAUCUGGACCACUUGGUCCGAUUACAAAUAGAAAAGGAAAAAAAAAAAAAAAGCAUUGAUCAUAAUCUCCCCUUCUCCUCCUCUAUCGCUGCAGCCGACGAGGUAGGGUUUCGAAGGCUGAAGUUCGGCUGCGAGAAUCUUGUAGGGAUCGUAGAGGAUUACGAUUGCCACAUAUCCCUUCGCCACAGGUCGCUGGAGGAGUUGGUGCCAAGUAUCAAGACGACCCUACAUAUAGUGACUCAACAUAUAACAAUAUUUUUAAAAAAUGUCGAUAAUUUAGCCAGCAACACUUUUUUGAUCUGUACUGUUACUUGAAAGUGUCGCUAUAUAUCGUUUUUGUUGUAGUGGAUCUGAUGGUUAAUUUUUUAUGCAUUCUCAACAGUAAAAUUUAUUUUCGAGGUAAGUGAUAGGAUAUUUGUUAGUUUUUUAAAGUAAUAUAGAAAAAUAUUCCGAGAAAGAAGGAUUAACCGUGUUAUUAGCACUUCUGAGAAAAGCGCUUCGACUUUGACUGACAGGUUCAUCUAUUUUUUUUUUUUUCGAAUUUUGAAAAUAUAUUUUGUAAAUUAGUGCAUGAAUAAAUAUUUUAAAUUAUGAUAUCUUUUGGUACUUAGGUAUGCUAAUAUUGGUCAUAUCAAUUUGUAUUUUGUUAAAAAGCUAAUUUUGAAUUUUGCUAUUUUUAAGAAAGAAAAGCACUUUGUUAUCCUAUAACCUUUCAAUUUGAUAUCAAUUUAAAAAGUCUGGGAAUCUCAAUUUUUGAAAUUUUGUGAAAUAAAAACCAAUCGCUUAAACUGCAGUAUUGUAUGAAAGUUUUAUCUCAGAGCAUUUUGUUAUUUACUUAUAUGCUUAAUCCAAGUAAUUUGGUGUAUAGUUGCUUAUCUAGAUCUUGUGACCAUUCUGUUAGACGGAGGCAGAACCGAGUGAAUGUUGGCCGUAGUUUGUUGUUCGAGUGUUUUUUUUUUUAUUAUUUUGUCUUUAUAUAUUAGGUAAAUAUUAAGUGGGUUUUCGUAGAUUAUUCUCAUGUUUUAUUCAUUUUUGUCUUUUUUUUUCUGUACCGUAUAAUUUAAUGAAUUUUUUUGUUACUAUUAUUUUGUCUGAUUGUUUGUUAGGUUCUGUAGUCUUGCAUAUUUAUUGUCUUAGUAGGCAUGCGACAUUUAUUAUGCCUCAGAUUUAACGCAAAAUAAUAUAUAUUUUUUUAACUAAAUAUUUUACUAAGGUUUCGGAUUUGGGAUAGAAUAGAGUCUGCGUUACGCGCAAUAAAAAAAUGUGAUUGAAAAAUAUUCUUUUUGUGUUCGUAAUGAAAAACAUGUCAUGUACAUUAUACUCUCAUUUGAUCACAAUAUAAAAAGGCUCAUUGGGUGCUAAAGGCUAUAUCUAAUUCCAUUAGGCCAAGGGGAGCUGGAAAAAAAAAAUAUAUAAAAAAACUUCUGUCUUUCAGUGAAAUCAUAAAAAUAAUAAUUUAAUUGAAGCACUUCAAUAUAUCCAACGUGAUAUUUUUUAUUUUUUUACAAAAAAACAAAUAAAAUAGGUUUUCUGUUAUACUUUUUUUACCGUACAUAACGUGUUUUUCCAUAAUUAUAAACAAAGUCCUAAAAAGUCUAUAAUCCUGCUGGAAAGUUGAAAUAAAUGUUAUUAUAUGCUGUUUUUCACAAAUUCCUUUGCGAUGGAUAAUAUUAGGCUGUCUUAGUAUUAGAUAGGUUUUAACAUUUUUUCACAACUGAUUGUCCUAGCGCAAGCGGUAAAGAAUUUGGUGAUUGGUAUAUGAGGUUUUAAGUUCGAAUUCUAGUUGAUUCAUAUUUCUAACUAAGUUUAUUUUUAAAUAAAAUAAAUAAAGUGGGUAUAAUGCUAUCUAUCUCUUAAAAAAAAAAUAUUUUCUGACAACCAGUAAGCACGGAUGUUUGAUUGUACGUAAAAUUAAAAAAAUAGGUUUCUAUAAAAUAAUUUUGGUGAAAAAAAUGUCUUAUUUUUGUUGUAAACUAGUUUUUCAUCAACAUUUGUUUGAUUGACAAAAAAAAAUUACAUUUAUUCCGUUCAAUAGAAAAAACUGAAAAUAAUUUUAUGCAGCGUAAGUAUUUAUUUUCCUAAAACACUCUAUUUUUUUCAAAUCUAUAAAAUUAGUUGUUUCAAUUUUUUUUUACCACUAAACAAACACAUAAAAAGUAAUUUGUAAGUCACAAAAAGUAAUUUUCGGUAUAUUUUACAGCCAAUCAAAGACAGCCUAAAGGGCUUUUUUUGCAUUUGGUCCCCUCAAAAAAAAUUAUUUUCAUAAAUAAUCCCACCAAAUUUAUAAUUAUAAUUUUGGCUCUAUCCCUGCUACGUAGGCACCUCGUAAGUGUCACGCGAGUAACGACGGAGGUGCUGAAAUAAAUUGAAUAUGGUAAUUCAUUCAUUGUAUUUAAACACGAUAAACGGGAAUAUAAGUAUAGAACACGGUAAACCAUUCACCGUGUUCAAAAUACGGUGAAUAAUUCACCGUGUUCAACUUAAGACCCUUUUUCAGCCAGCUUGUAUGGCGCUGAUAUGGCGUCUGCGUGAUAGAAAUAAAACAAAAAUUAUAAUUAUAAAUUUGAUGGAGCUUUUGUAUUUUUUUUUUUUUUUUGAAGGGAUCAAAUGCAAAAAAAAGCCCCAGUCUAAAUUGAAAAGAUUGUGGAAUCUAAACCAGCUUAGCCGAGCCGAGCCGAGCCGAGCCGGCGGCGGCGGGGGCUGACGCGUCGCCAGCGCGGAUAAUUGCUCGCAGUGCAAGCUACUGACUACCGACCACGUUGUUUCUUUUUCUUGACUUGCUUUUCAAAGUGUACAAUGCAAACAACUUCAAUAACAAUAAUUUAUGAACCACCACCAGAGAGGAGCCUAAAAAAUUAAAAUAAAAAAAUAAAAAAAAAUAAAAAAAAAAAGGGGAGCAAAAGUGAAUGAAAAGGAAACGAGUGAGUGUGAGGAGUAAAAGGCAGUAAUGAUUAUAAUAAUCACAACUUAUUGUUGGCCGAUACGCCCUCUUUAUUACAUUCUUGAUUCGCCCCAAUUAAUUAAUUAAUUUAUUAAAUUAAUUUAUUGGCUCUUUGGUGAGGUGUCUACAUUGUACUACUAGUCCCCCCACUUUACAUAAUUUAUCCUUGUGUAAACUUAGAAGUUUACUCCCUUGUUUUAGCAUAAGUAUUCUUCUAUAUUUAAUUUUAAAAAAAACUUCAAAUACUAUCUAUGUGGUUCCGUACUUUUUUAUUUUACUAUUUUAUGAUUUAAAAUGUAUCAGUUUGGUACCCAGUGGUUUCAUUUUUCCUUUUUUAUUAUUAAUUUCAUUAAUUUUUUUUCGUUAAAUCAAUGACAAAGUUAAACCUAAAGAAUAUUAAAGUGAAUAUUCAAUAAACCUAGAUAGGGUAUCCGGAGUUUUUUUUGUAUAUAAUUUAACAAAAUAUUAACGAAUAAACCGACGAAAAAAUAAAAAUAAAACCACAGGAUACUAACUUGAUACACUUUAAAUCAGAGGGUACUAAAAUGAAAAAAUGCUAAACUACAUGGGUGUUAUUUGAAGUUUACCCUUAAUUUUAUUAUACUGGAAGGACUUAUUGUUAAACAAAAUAGUAUAAUAAUAAUAUUUUAUUUUUCAAAGCACAAAAUAAUAUAAUAUCACAUUUUAUAAUAAUCCUUUACAUUUUACAAUUUUGUACCAUAGUUUAGUAUGAAAAAAUAAAAAUAACUUUUGAACUGUAAAAAUAACUGAACCACAAAAAAGCAAAUUAAAAUUUAGAAAAAAACUUUAAAUACCACCCCUAUAAUUUCAUACUUUUUCACUUUAUUAUGCUGUGAUUUAAAGUGUACCACUUUCGUACUCUGUAGUUUUUUUUUUUUUUUUUUACUUUUUGCUAUUUCCUCCAUUAUUUUCCCUUUUAUUAAAUCAGUGACAAAAUUAAACCUAAAAGGUACUAAAGUUAAUAUUUGAUAAACUAUAAGUGGGAUAUCUGAAGUUCUUUGUAUUAUAAUUUAACUAAAAGUUAACGGAGGGACUGACGAAAAGGGAAAAGUAAAAUCACAAGAUACUAAAUUAAUACACUUUAAAUCACAGAGCACUAAAAUAAAAAAAAAAUAAAAAAUCACAGGAAUGAUAUUUGAAGUUCAUCUUAAAAUUUUGUUAAAUUAUAUACCAAAAACUUCAGAUACCUAUCCUAGAUUUAUCGAAUAUUCACUUUAGUACUCUUUAAUUUUAACUUUGUCACUGAUUUAACGAAAAAAAUUAGUGGAAUCGACAAUAAAAAGAUAAAAAUAAAACUAGUGGGUACUAAAUUAAUACACUUUAAAUUAUAUAGUACUAAAAUAAAAAAAAAUGUGAAAUUAUAGGAUGAUAUUUAAAGUUUUUUCUAAAAUU
rnacentral:lncRNA from 1 species